AUGUCAAAACAAGACAUAAACUUCAUCGCCAUAAACUCAUAUCGUCGCUUUACCGUCAUGUUAUAUUCAUCGCUUACUCAUCAGGAAAUUAUCACAUCAUAUUCACUUUAUGUUCAACACAAAAAUCAUCACAAAACAAAGUAUCAUAUAUCAUCGCAAUUCAUCAUAAGCCAUGAAAUAAAACUCAACGCCCAAAGACUCAAAAAUAAACAUAAUCGACUCCAUGAGACACGACUAUGUUAUGCAUGUGGUACCCGUCGUUUUGUCCAUAAUUAG